rnacentral:rRNA from 1 species
GACGAACGCUGGCGGCGUGCUUAACACAUGCAAGUCGAACGGAAAGGCCCUGCUUUUGUGGGGUGCUCGAGUGGCGAACGGGUGAGUAACACGUGAGUAACCUGCCCUUGACUUUGUGAUAACUUCAGGAAACUGGGGCUAAUACCGGAUAGGAGCUCCUGCUGCAUGGUGGGGGUUGGAAAGUUUCGGCGGUUGGGGAUGGACUCGCGGCUUAUCAGCUUGUUGGUGUGGUAGUGGCUUACCAAGGCUUUGACGGGUAGCCGGCCUGAGAGGGUGACCGGCCACAUUGGGACUGAGAUACGGCCCAGACUCCUACGGGAGGCAGCAGUGGGGAAUAUUGCACAAUGGGCGGAAGCCUGAUGCAGCAACGCCGCGUGCGGGAUGACGGCCUUCGGGUUGUAAACCGCUUUCGCCUGUGACGAAGCGUGAGUGACGGUAAUGGGUAAAGAAGCACCGGCUAACUACGUG